UGCGUAGGGGGCAAGCGUUGUCCGGAAUCAUUGGGCGUAAAGAGCGUGUAGGCGGUCCGGUAAGUCGGCUGUGAAAGUCCAGGGCUCAACCCUGGGAUGCCGGUCGAUACUGCCGGACUAGAGUUCGGAAGAGGCGAGUGGAAUUCCCCGGUGUAGCGGUGAAAUGCGCAGAUAUCGGGAGGAACACCUAUGGCGAAGGCAGCUCGCUGGGACGUUACUGACGCUGAGACGCGAAAGCGUGGGGAGCAAACAGG
rnacentral:rRNA from 1 species